rnacentral:rRNA from 1 species
GACGAACGCUGGCGGCGUGGAUUAGGCAUGCAAGUCGGACGGUAGAGCUUUAUCGUAAGAUAGAGUUUGAGAGUGGCGAACGGGUGAGUAACACGUAGGAAUCUACCCUUAAGACGGGGACAACCCAGGGAAACUUGGGCUAAUACCGGAUGAGAGUGCGAGAGAUUGCAUUUAAAAAGGAUGGCGAAAGUUGUCGCUUAGGGAUGAGCCUGCGGUCUAUUAGUUAGUUGGUGAGGUAAGAGCUCACCAAGGCGAUGAUAGAUAGGCGGCCUUAACGGGUGGUCGCCCACACUGGGAUUGAGAUACGGCCCAGACUCCUACGGGAGGCAGCAGUCGAGAAUAGUCUACAAUGGCCGGAAGGCUGAUAGUGCGACGCCGCGUGAACGAGGGAGCCCUUCGGGGUGUAAAGUUCUUUUCUACGCGAAUAGAGGUUAGUACGAGAUACUAAUAGGAAGGUAGUGUAGUAAAAAGCACCGGCUAACUCCGUG